CAGUCGUACGCUUCUUUUUCCCCGGAGCUUGCUCCACCGGAAAAAGAAGAGUGGCGAACGGGUGAGUAACACGUGGGUAACCUGCCCAUCAGAAGGGGAUAACACUUGGAAACAGGUGCUAAUACCGUAUAACAAUCGAAACCGCAUGGUUUUGAUUUGAAAGGCGCUUUCGGGUGUCGCUGAUGGAUGGACCCGCGGUGCAUUAGCUAGUUGGUGAGGUAACGGCUCACCAAGGCCACGAUGCAUAGCCGACCUGAGAGGGUGAUCGGCCACAUUGGGACUGAGACACGGCCCAAACUCCUACGGGAGGCAGCAGUAGGGAAUCUUCGGCAAUGGACGAAAGUCUGACCGAGCAACGCCGCGUGAGUGAAGAAGGUUUUCGGAUCGUAAAACUCUGUUGUUAGAGAAGAACAAGGAUGAGAGUAACUGUUCAUCCCUUGACGGUAUCUAACCAGAAAGCCACGGCUAACUACGUGCCAGCAGCCGCGGUAAUACGUAGGUGGCAAGCGUUGUCCGGAUUUAUUGGGCGUAAAGCGAGCGCAGGCGGUUUCUUAAGUCUGAUGUGAAAGCCCCCGGCUCAACCGGGGAGGGUCAUUGGAAACUGGGAGACUUGAGUGCAGAAGAGGAGAGUGGAAUUCCAUGUGUAGCGGUGAAAUGCGUAGAUAUAUGGAGGAACACCAGUGGCGAAGGCGGCUCUCUGGUCUGUAACUGACGCUGAGGCUCGAAAGCGUGGGGAGCAAACAGGAUUAGAUACCCUGGUAGUCCACGCCGUAAACGAUGAGUGCUAAGUGUUGGAGGGUUUCCGCCCUUCAGUGCUGCAGCUAACGCAUUAAGCACUCCGCCUGGGGAGUACGACCGCAAGGUUGAAACUCAAAGGAAUUGACGGGGGCCCGCACAAGCGGUGGAGCAUGUGGUUUAAUUCGAAGCAACGCGAAGAACCUUACCAGGUCUUGACAUCCUUUGACCACUCUAGAGAUAGAGCUUCCCCUUCGGGGGCAAAGUGACAGGUGGUGCAUGGUUGUCGUCAGCUCGUGUCGUGAGAUGUUGGGUUAAGUCCCGCAACGAGCGCAACCCUUAUUGUUAGUUGCCAUCAUUCAGUUGGGCACUCUAGCAAGACUGCCGGUGACAAACCGGAGGAAGGUGGGGAUGACGUCAAAUCAUCAUGCCCCUUAUGACCUGGGCUACACACGUGCUACAAUGGGAAGUACAACGAGUCGCGAAGUCGCGAGGCUAAGCUAAUCUCUUAAAGCUUCUCUCAGUUCGGAUUGUAGGCUGCAACUCGCCUACAUGAAGCCGGAAUCGCUAGUAAUCGCGGAUCAGCACGCCGCGGUGAAUACGUUCCCGGGCCUUGUACACACCGCCCGUCACACCACGAGAGUUUGUAACACCCGAAGUCGGUGAGGUAACC
rnacentral:rRNA from 1 species